AGAGUUUGAUCAUGGCUCAGAUUGAACGCUGGCGGCAGGCCUAACACAUGCAAGUCGAGCGGUAACACAGAGGAGCUUGCUCCUUGGGUGACGAGCGGCGGACGGGUGAGUAAUGCCUGGGGAUCUGCCCGAUAGAGGGGGAUAACUACGGGAAACUGUAGCUAAUACCGCAUAACGUCUACGGACCAAAGUGGGGGCUCUUCGGACCUCAUGCUAUCGGAUGAACCCAGGUGGGAUUAGCUAGUUGGUGAGGUAAUGGCUCACCAAGGCGACGAUCUCUAACUGGUUUGAGAGAAUGACCAGUCACACUGGAACUGAGACACGGUCCAGACUCCUACGGGAGGCAGCAGUGGGGAAUAUUGCACAAUGGGCGCAAGCCUGAUGCAGCCAUGCCGCGUGUGUGAAGAAGGCCUUCGGGUUGUAAAGCACUUUCAGCGGGGAGGAAGGGUCACUAGUUAAUACCUAGUGGCAUUGACGUUACUCGCAGAAGAAGC
rnacentral:rRNA from 1 species